AAAUCCUAUUUUUUGCUCUGGAAUUGAGUAAAAGUGAAAAUAAAGUAAAAUUGUUCUAACCUUACUCUAUUUUCUGCUCCAUAAUAGAGUGGUGAACAAAAAAAAAAUAGAUUAUUCCAUGGAGUGAAUUUCAUUAUAGAAUAAAAUAUGAAGUUGGGUUGUUUCAUAUUUACUUUUAAUCAGAGAAAAAAAUAGGGCAAUUGUCAAUAAUAGCACCUUUUGAAGUUUAUGUCUCAAAAAGAGCACUAGAAGGAGAAAGUCACAAAAAUGACAUUCAUUAAAGGGUAA
rnacentral:lncRNA from 1 species